UACGUAGGGUGCAAGCGUUGUCCGGAAUUAUUGGGCGUAAAGAGCUCGUAGGCGGUUUGUCGCGUCGGCUGUGAAAUCCCGAGGCUCAACCUCGGGCCUGCAGUCGAUACGGGCAAACUAGAGUGUGGUAGGGGAGACUGGAAUUCCUGGUGUAGCGGUGAAAUGCGCAGAUAUCGGGAGGAACACCGGCGGCGAAGGCGGGUCUCUGGGCCAUAACUGACGCUGAGGAGCGAAAGCGUGGGGAGCGAACAGG
rnacentral:rRNA from 1 species